rnacentral:rRNA from 1 species
UUGAUCCUGGCUCAGGAUGAACGCUGGCGGCGUGGAUGAGGCAUGCAAGUCGAACGGGUUCAGACCCGUGGCAGACGAGGUAGGAACACGUAGGUACGUACCAAGAAGUCAGGGAUAUUCCGGCGAAAGUCGGCGCAAUACUUGAUGGUCUCCCAAAUUCAUAUUUGGGAGUAAAGAUUUAUCGCUUCUUGAACGGCCUGCGGGCUAUCAGCUAGUUGGUACGGUAACGGCGUACCAAGGCUACGACGGCUAGGGGAGGUGAGAGCCUGACCCCCACCGAUGGAACUGAGACACGGUCCAUACUCCUACGGGAGGCCGCAGUCGAGAAUCUUCCGCAAUGGGCGAAAGCCUGACGGAGCGACGCCGCGUGGUGGAUGAAGUCCUUAGGGACGUAAACACCUUUUAUGAGUGAAGAAGUUUAUUGACAUUAGCUCAUGAAUAAGGGGCUCCCAACUCUGUGCCAGCAGGAGCGGUAAUACAGAGGCCUCAAGCGUUAUCCGGAUUCACUGGGCGUAAAGGGUGCGUAGGCGGUUAUAUUAGUCGGGCGUAAAAUCCUAGGGCUCAACCUUAGGCUCGCGUUCGAAACGGUAUAACUAGGAGUAGUGAGAGGUGAACAGAACUCACGGUGUAGGGGUGAAAUCCGUUGAUAUCGUGGGGAAUACCAAAUGCGAAGGCAGUUCACUGGCGCUUACUCGACGCUGAGGCACGAAAGCGUGGGUAGCGAACGGGAUUAGAUACCCCGGUAGUCCACGCCCUAAACGCUGUCCGCUGGCUUUAGGGAGAAUCGACCCUCCCUGAGGCGAAGGUAACCCGUUAAGCGGACCGCCUGGGUAGUACGAGCGCAAGCUUAAAACUCAAAGGAAUAGACGGGGGCUCGCACAAGCGGUGGAUCAUGAGGCUUAAUUCGUCGAUAAGCGAAAAACCUUACCCAGGCUAGAAACCAUACUGCACGCUCUCCGAAAGGAGAGAAUCCUUCGAGGGUGUAUGGCAGGUGAUGCAUGGCCGUCGUCAGUUCGUGGCUUGAGCUGUUCCCUUAAGUGGGGAAACGAACGCAACCCUCGUUGCCUGUUACAAGUGUCAGGCGAGACUGCUCCCUCACGGGAGAGGCAGGUGAGGAUGACGCCAGGUCAGCAUGUCCCUUGAUGCCUGGGGCUGCACUCGUGAUACAAUGGGAUGUACAAAGGGACGCAAUACAGUAAUGUGGAGCAAAUCCUGAUAAAACAUUCCUCGGUUCGGAUUGAGGGCUGCAACUCGCCCUCAUGAAGCCGGAAUCGCUAGUAAUCGUGAAUCAGCACGUCACGGUGAAUACGUUCCCGAGCCUUGUACUCACCGCCCGUCAAGUCAGGGGAGUCGGAAGUGCCCGAAG